rnacentral:misc_RNA from 1 species
GAAAUAUUAAAAUUUUCCAUAUAUUAGAAAUAUUAAUAAGUUUAGUAUUUUGUUUGUCAUGAUAGUGAUACAGAAUUUAAGAGAUACACAUAAAUUGCUUUCUAAUAGUAUGUAAUGUACUUAAAUCAUUCUGCAUCUUCUUAUAUUAAUCAUUGAUGGGUGAAAAUAUAAAGAAUUUUAGAUUUUUCUUAUUUAUAUCUGAUCAAUCAUGGAUUCAAAAUUUAAAUAUAUCAGACUUAUGUAUUUAAUAAGUGU